AGCAGCCAUGGCUCGCCACCGCCCUGCCGGUGCCCACUGAGCAAAAAUAAAUUCACUUAAAUUAACUCUUUCACAAAUAAUAAAAAAAGGUGCGGCUAUUAUAACAUAACUGGUUAUUUUAUAAUAUUUUUUAUAAUAUUUUAAAACUUAAAAAAUGCCACCACUGCGUACAAAGGGUCUUAUGUUGGGUUUCUGCAACAGAUUAGUCUGAUAUUUAAAUGAACUCUGGAGAAAAGGAAAUCCUCUGCUGUGCCUCCAUUACACACAGGCGCGCGAGUACGAAAUCGUCUGCUGACGUCAUCGGUGCUCCGCGGUUUAGCGCCAGCCGUUGGCCCGCAGCGCAUGCAGACGGAUCAGGCGCCAGCCAGCCAAUCAGCGCUCAGAACAACAAGGCAUGGUGCUGGUCCACAUGGGCACCCGCCCGGCUCGAGGAGCAGCUCAUUUGCAUGGCGAGAGCGUGACUGGCCACCCCGCUGUCUCCAGAUCAGAGCCGUCAGUCAAACCCACAGGGGCGGGGCCUGGGAGCGUGGAAGUGGUUCCUCUCUGGGAAGGAGCAGCUGUUCCCAUUUUUCCUCCGAUGAGAGAUUACAACACAAGAUGUAAACCGUACCUGAUGACAUGAAACCCACUAAAAUGAGCAGAAAACCUGCAGAUCUCUGCCCCAUUCUGCAGCACAGAGGCUGACACACCACAUUAAAAAGGCCGGAUGCUUUCUGAAAACACUCUGCUCUCAUAAGCAGCGUGAGGCCCGAUCUGCUGUAAGUGCUGACCUUGAAACCUCUCAACACAUCCGUGACACGCCAGCGUAUUUGGAUCUCCGCUGGCUGCUCCCUCCAAGAACCGGACCCAGUAUUAUAUCAGAGGCAGAGAGAAAAAUGGGCGACCCAAAAGCAAAAUAAAUGAGAAUUUCAUCUCUGCUCAGUUUUAAUGUCUUCGGCUUGAAUGAGGGAGAGUCUGGGAGGAUGUAGGCCAAUGUUUCUCCUCCACUGAAAAACAGCCCAGGUUUAUCGUUACACAAACAGAGCCGGGUAGUAACUAGUUACAUUUACUCAAUUACAGUCACUUGAGUAAGUUUUGAAAUAUAUAUUAUUGAU